AGGAGGCAGCAGUGGGGAAUUUUGCGCAAUGGGGGAAACCCUGACGCAGCAACGCCGCGUGAGUGAUGAAGGCCUUCGGGUCGUAAAGCUCUUUUAGUGGGGAAGAAGCCCACCCGGGCUAAUAUCCCGGGUGUCUGACGGUACCCACAGAAAAAGUUCCGGCUAACUACGUGCCAGCAGCCGCGGUAAUACGUAGGGAGCAAGCGUUGUUCGGAAUUAUUGGGCGUAAAGAGCGCGUAGGCGGUUCGGUAAGUCUGACGUGAAAUCCCGGAGCUUAACUCCGGAACUGCGUUGGAUACUGCCGAGCUUGAGUGUGGGAGAGGAGAGUGGAAUUCCCAGUGUAGAGGUGAAAUUCGUAGAUAUUGGGAGGAACACCCGUGGCGAAGGCGGCUCUCUGGACCACAACUGACGCUGAGGCGCGAAAGCUAGGGUAGCAAACGGGAUUAGAUACCCUGGU
rnacentral:rRNA from 1 species